CCUCCUCGUCGCCCUCCCCUCUCUCUCUCUCGCUGACCCCUCUCCCCCCCGUGCAAGCCAGCCCUGAUCUGGAGGAAGAGGAGAGAUGCGGGCGCCUCCCGUCCCACUCGCCUCCCCCUCCUCGUUGCCCUCCUCUCUCUCUCUCGCUAACCCCUCUCUCCCCCCGUGCAAGCCACCCACGGAUUUGGAGGAAGAGGAGAGAUGCGGGAUCUGGAGGAGGAAGAGGAGAUCCGAGCGUCCCGGCGGUGGAUCGACCGAUGCCAGAUCGGGCGGAGGUCGCCGCCGUGGGAGGAGCAGGGAAGGGUGAGGCCUGGGUUCGACCAGCAGCGCACGCUCUUUAGGCUGGUGCUAGGCUGCAUCUUUUCCUGCCCCCGUCCUGGUGCCUCCUCCUACCCGCGUAAAUGGCGAGCAGAGGGCGUGAGUACCAGAGUUUGGAUGUGGAUGUUACUUCAGGGAGGAAGUUGGUUACAAUUUUCAUUUGUAUGAUGCAGCAGGCACAAACUAAUUUACAGAAUUUUUGGUGUUGCGGUCUCUCCCCAUCUUAACAUUGUCUUCCGCUGGAAGGAGAGGAAAUUUGUGUAUAUCACACCUAUCAGCUACAUCCCAUGGAGAGGAAUUUUGUGUCAGGCUCAUUGGAGAAGCUUUCACAGCUAUGGCUCUUCUUUCAGUCAUAAGAUUUACAGAUAUACUAAUUCUAAAAGAUUUGAUUCACAGGAAAUGGAUUGUAAAUUGCAAGUGAGUUGGGGCUUCUGAUUGGACCUUGUGGUGGUUGGAUCUGCUGACAGAUAGGGAGAAGCAUGAUAGUCGGAGAUUACCUGAAUGAUUCGUGGAAAUUAGAAUGUGGGGAUCUCAAAGAAUGUUUCACAAGAAAAACAAAUAUUGGCCAUUUCCAAACUUGCUCGGUGGUCGAGGUACUAUAGAGGACAUCAGUAGAAUGAAAGCAAGAGCAAUCUGACACCAUUAUUGAUAGUCAGCUUCCAUUAUCAGCAGCUUCAGACGUAUCAAGAAUUGUUGAUGCAGAUAUAUCUUUCUUUUGGAAAUGGAAGUUGCUGUUUCUUCCCAGAACUAGGAAGGUGCGGAUAAUAAGAGUUGUUGACAGAGGCAACCUGCACAUGUGCAAACAGUGGCUAUGGUGGCUCAAAGGGAAGCAGCGGCUGCUCCAUGGAAACACGCAACUUAGUGAUCUAAGAUCAAUCUUCCUAUUCAUUCAUUGCACGCUGUUAUUCUGCAGGACCGGCGAAGCGCAAGGUCAUGUACAAGGGAUAAGCUGGUCAAUGAAGGAAAUUCUAAAAGAAAGCGACUACAAGCAACAUUUGAAGUGAGCUGGGAGCCGGGGUCAUCCUUCUCACCACCAGUCGAACAUACUACUUGAGCCACCAUGUUGAGCGAUACAAAAGUGUUCUCUUUUCUGAGAGCAACAACACGAGAUUGUGCCCCCUCUUGCUCCAGGUGCAUGUUGCUGUAAUUAGUAUCAACAGAUUAAAUCAUGGACCAUGUCUCUGUUUCAUACCACCUCUGUUCAUAAACAGAUAGCUUCCUAGAGAUUGUGCAGUCCUAAGGCCAUCCACACUAUUGCCCCUUAAAGCGUAUUGAGUGCAUCAAGCCUAAUUUUCUAUUGGACAGAUUUUGUUCUGUUAUCUAUUAGUGUUAGAACAAUACAAAUUUUCCUAUUUUGCAGAAACUAACUUAGUGCUUCCUUCUUUCAGUUUUGAAAUUCAGCAAUUCUUUUCCUUAAUCGCAAACUGAAUUGUUCGUCGUUGCUAUUUGGUUUCCCUUCUGUCUGUGGCAUAUUGAUGAUUUGAUCCGCAUUCAAGAAAGAAAUAUUCCAUGCAAGCCUCCAGCCUAAGUAAAGAAAUUUAUUUGCUUGCCAUUUGAAUAAAAAAUUUGAGCAGAUAUAUACUUCAUUGUUCAUGAUCUUUCUUUUUUGUUUGUAUCGAACUUCAUGCUUACUCAAUAUAUAUCAUGUUGUAAUCCGGUCUGAUUUGUUCAUACUUAAUUUCUUUUCUUCAGCUCUUUGUUUUAUUGAUAGAUGAUAAAGAAUGCAUCAUCACAAUAUUUUUUUUAUUUAAAAUCUGUAUGGGAUUGGUCAGUUGGUGCAUCUGCAUUCAGGUUAGUUUGCGUGUGAAGUUCUUUUUUUUUAGAGAUAAGGCACAAUGUCCGACUUCAUAAAUAAAGCCAUCAAUGGCAAUCAAGUCAAACUGAAGUUGAGUUAAAAUGUUACAAAACAAAGCUGCCUGAUAUGGAAUACACACUAUUUUCAUUUUCAUUAACAUGAAUCUGCCAUUAACGUGCUUUGUUCUUAACAUUUGUUUUACCAAAUGCAGGGGAGCGUCACCGAUAUUUUCUUGAAGCGGUAUAAUCGUUGAUAAUAUCUUUACGGUUUCUCCUUUGUUUCAGAGAACAUAAUUCACACAUGAUAUUACCCUGUUGGCCUGUUGUUUGGCGUUGGACCAUGGACACAAGGUUCAUAUAAAAUUCUUUGGAUACAGAUAAUUGUGAGCUCUGAAUUGUUGAAAAAUUGUUCUCCAUAGUUCUGUACGAGUCAGUUUGUGUUUUUGCAUUCUCAGCAGUUGUCGUCCUUGAAUAAUUUAAGUUAAAGCUAAGAUUGAGAGAGGGUGAGAGAGGUAAUAAACAGUGGCUACAUAGUUUGCGAAAGAGAAAUUGUCAUUGGAGAAGCACACGAUACAUGAAUAGGAAAGGCAUCACACUCGAGUUUGGAGAAGAAAAAGGGUACAAGGACAAAGAUAGAUUAGUAUUCUGCUCUGAAGCUAAAACUUUUUGUGGGAUGCAUGUUUUUUUUAAUGUUAUUUGAUUCUGUAUUAUGGAAGUAUGACUGGUCGUAUAUAUUUACAUUAAUGUUGUCAAGUUGUGGUUUAGCAAUAGGUAUAAUCUCCUAUCAAGGUACUUCUUUUGAAUAUAUCGCUGUUUUUAAACUUGCAAUUUCUAUGUGGACCUAUGCUCGCGAGCGUCCCUCGAUUUUGCUGUGUUUCUUGUUGUUCGAUGGUGUGCCUAUAUGCUUAAUUUUGUCAUUAUCCGUGUCUAGGCUUCACACAAGAGGCUGAAAGAGGACGAUGAUGCAAGGAAAUAUUUCUAGCAGCUGAUCAACAUUGUCAGCUACUGCCAUAGCAGAGGCGUUUAUCACCACGAUCUGAAGGUAUUGUGGGGUGCUGCUUACUGAUGUGCUCUAUGGGAAGAAAAGUGGGUCCAUACCAUUUAUCUUCUUCCUUAUAUCAUCCUGAAAAUCUUCUGCUUUGUACUAAUGACACUCUCAAGGUGAUUUUGGACUGAGUACGUAAAUUGUCUGCUUUCUCUUUUUCUAGCUUGAUGGAAACCAUCAUGAUGCAAAAUUUAGUCUAGGUCGGACAUGUAUAUACAAAUCCUGCUACUCUUUUCUUUGCUCAAUUAAAAUAAUUUAGUUUACCCUAGGAAGUCAUGUUCAUUCUCCUGCUCUUUUACAAACCAUAGGCUAGAAAAUUUCUUUUUAGCAUACGUUCUCCUUUUAUUAAGCUUUCUUUUGCUACAGUUUGCCAGGCAAAUAAAGUUUUCCAGUCAAUAGUUCACCUGUCUCCUAAUGCAUGUAAUACUGUUUGGAACUGGCACUCCAAUGGAUUCAGUUACAUGAUGUUGGAUUAGCUGGCUGCCAUUAUGCAGCGCAUCUUGUGUGCCUCUGGUUAUGUUCUAUAUAAAAUGACGUGAAAUGUGAAAUUGGGCAAUACUUUUGAUAUACUUUUGUAACAUGGUGUAUCAUUCAUUUUUGGUUUGUGCAUAGUUCUAUUGGUGUUCUGUCAAAUCUGGGGCUUUGUAUUUUCAUCCCGGCUUAUUGUAGUAUUACAAUCUGGCAGUAUAAGAGUUCUGGUUAGUUCUCAUAAUUCAUCCAGUAUAUGUUUGGUUUCAAAGCAAAUAAAUUGAAAGGACGUAUAAGAGAAGGUAUAAGGUGGAAUCUUGCAAGUAGUUGACCAAAUAUAUCUCACUUCGAGGAAUGCUUUUUGCUGAGAAUACCACUUUUUUCCAAUACCCCAAUGAUUUCAUUCGCCAGUACCUUGACGACUUGGAUCAGGUUUUCUUCCGAAAAGGGUGCAUGGACAAACAGAUGCAAGGGGCAUUGUUUCAUACAACACCCACACCAAUGACCACUGGACGAGUGAAGCCAAGGGACUUGUGAACAACAUGAAAAACUUUCAUCCAUCUUUUGAUUACACAGAAAUAUGCCUUUGAUGCAUCCGUGUUGGGACAAGCUUUUUCGGACGGAGGGAGUAUAUGAUGUAAUUGACCACUAUCAAUUAGAAAUGCUCCUGGACACAAUGCUCUAUAUUAUCAUGUCUUUCGUGCAUUUUAUUGUCCACCUGCGUAUAUAGCUACUUGAAUCUUCUAAUUGCAAACUCAAACAUUUGCAUUU